ACCUGUCUCGCUCAGCUGGUAGUGCUUGGGACUCUUGAUCUCAGGAUUGUGGGUUUGAGCCCCAUGCUGGGCA